CAAUAGCUACUUGCAUCAUACUAGAGAUGAUGCAAGAUCGACUAUGUCGAAUAAAAUUCUAGGUAGAAUUAUGAUAAUGACAUUGUCUGCCUAUGUGUCUUGACCAAAUUACGUGCCAGCAGUCGCGGUAAUACGUAGAAGACUAGUGUUAUUCAUGUUUAAUCGGUUUAAAGGGUACCUAGACGGUAAAUCAAGCCUAAAACUAAAAAAAAAUAAAUGAAGGGACUAAUUUACUAGAGUUACUUAUGAGGGGGUAUUAAAGUACUGCUGGUGUAGAGAUGAAAUUCUGUCAUACCUCUUUUCAAUAGAAAAACAAUGGCACAGGUAUAGGCGAAGGCAUCCCCUUAUGUGAUAACUGACGUUGAGGGACGAAGGCUUUGUGUAGCGAACAGGAUUAGAUACCCCAGUAGUCAAAGCAGAAAAUGAUGAAUGUCAUAGAUUAGAUAUAUAAGUUUAUUCUAUAAAUGAAAGUGUAAGCAUUCCACCUCAAGAGUAAUUUGGCAACAUUGGAACUGAAAUCAUUAGACCGUUUCUGAAACCAGUAGUGAAGUAUGUUGUUUAAUUUGAUGAUCCGCAAAAAACCUUACCACAAUUUGAAUAUUUAUAUCUUUUAUUGUUUUUUCUUCUUAUUAUUCAAUUAUUGAAGAAUAAGAAAAAUAGGCAAUAAGA
rnacentral:rRNA from 1 species